rnacentral:misc_RNA from 1 species
UUCUCGGUUAUGAUGUAUACAUUCGUUACAGGACGUUAAAAACACGGCUCACGCCUCGCGGCGCUCGCCACAGUUCACAGUGUGUGUAAGACAAUGCCUCGCGGCAAUCUCUAAUGAUCCUUCCGCAGGUUCACCUACGGAAA